rnacentral:ncRNA from 1 species
AUAAAGUUUUAUUUUGGUUUUAUUAUUUAUUAUUAAUUUAAUUUAUAUGUAAAUUUUUGUAUGAAAUUAUAUUUAUUUUAAAAAUAUUUAUUUUAUAAUUUAUUCACAAUAAUUAAUUUUAUUUAUUUUAAAGAAAUUUAGAAAUAGUAAUAUUAUAAAAGUAUUAACAAAAUUUGUGCCAGCAGUUGCGGUUAAACAAAUAAUGCAAAUAAAUUUAGUUAUUUUAAAGUUAAAUUAAUUUUUAUUAAAUAUAAAUAAAUUUAUUAGGUGAAAUUUUAAAUUUAUGAUUUUUUAUAUAUUAAUAAGUUGAAACUUAGAAAUUUUAAAUAUAAACUAGGAUUAGAUACCCUAUUAUUUAAAAUAUAUCAAAAAUAAAAUAAGGUAGUAAUAGUUAUGUUCUUGAAACUUAAAAAAUUUGGCGGUAUUUUAAUCUAUUCAGAGGAACUUGUUUUAUAAUCGAUAAUCCUCGAUGGACCUUACUUAAAUUUGUUAUCAGUUUAUAUACCGUCGUUAUAAGAAUAUUUUAUAAGAAAGUAAAUUUUCAUAAUUUUUUAUUAUAAAUUAUAUCAGAUCAAGGUGUAGCUUAUGUUUAAGAAAAAAUGAGUUACAAUAAAUUUAUUUAAACGAAUUUAAAUUUGAAAUAUUUAUUGAAGGUGGAUUUGAUAGUAAAAUUAUAUAGAUAAAUAAUUUGAUUAUAGUUCUAAAAUAUGUACAUAUCGCCCGUCACUCUUAUUAAUUAAAGUAAGAUAAGUCGUAACAUAGUAGAUGUACUGGAAGGUGUAUCUAGAAUG